CAGUCGCCACGGUAAUACGGAGGAUCCAAGCGUUAUCCGGAUUUAUUGGGUUUAAAGGGUGCGUAGGUGGCCUGCUAAGUCAGGGGUGAAAGACGGUAGCUUAACUAUCGCAGUGCCCUUGAUACUGAUGGGCUUGAAUGAACUAGAGGUAGGCGGAAUGUGACAAGUAGCGGUGAAAUGCAUAGAUAUGUCACAGAACACCGAUUGCGAAGGCAGCUUACUAUGGUUUUAUUGACACUGAGGCACGAAAGCGUGGGGAUCAAACAGGAUUAGAGACCCCCGUAGUCCCUGUCUCUUAUAA
rnacentral:rRNA from 1 species